AUGUCAUCCCUUGAGCUCGGCACCUGUUCGCAUAUGCCCUGUUCGAAGAGUGAGUCAGUGCGUGUCCGUGCUCUGUUUUACGCGCGCGUGUGUGUGUUUUGGUUCAGGUGCAAGCCCAUGGAUGCUGAAGACUAUGAGGAGUACAUACCUCUUCUUUAUGAAGUUCUCGCAGGUCAGCAACAUGAGGUGAUUAAUGCACAUGCAUAUCUAUCUGAUUUGUGUGUUACUUCCAUCAUGUAUCUAGACUGGCAGUCAUAUUCCUCAGUUACUCAAGGGUGUAUGGCAUGCUGGAUCUUCUUUGAGGGCAUGAUUUAG
rnacentral:rRNA from 1 species